AGUGAACGCUGGCGGUAGGCCUAACACAUGCAAGUCGAACGGCAGCACAGUAAGAGCUUGCUCUUACGGGUGGCGAGUGGCGGACGGGUGAGGAAUACAUCGGAAUCUACUUUUUCGUGGGGGAUAACGUAGGGAAACUUACGCUAAUACCGCAUACGACCUACGGGUGAAAGCAGGGGAUCUUCGGACCUUGCGCGAUUGAAUGAGCCGAUGUCGGAUUAGCUAGUUGGCGGGGUAAAGGCCCACCAAGGCGACGAUCCGUAGCUGGUCUGAGAGGAUGAUCAGCCACACUGGAACUGAGACACGGUCCAGACUCCUACGGGAGGCAGCAGUGGGGAAUAUUGGGCAAUGGGCGCAAGCCUGAUCCAGCCAUACCGCGUGGGUGAAGAAGGCCUUCGGGUUGUAAAGCCCUUUUGUUGGGAAAGAAAAGCAGCAGGUUAAUACCCCGCGGUUCUGACGGUACCCAAAGAAUAAGCACCGGCUAACUUCGUG
rnacentral:rRNA from 1 species